rnacentral:rRNA from 1 species
GCGAGUUGAUGGGAUACCUAAAAUUCCCAUAGCAAACUGCUCAGUAACACAUGAUCAACUUACCCUAUAGAGAAAAAUAACCUCGGGAAACUGAGGAUAAUGUUUCAUAAUUGAAUUGGCUUGGAAAAGUUUUUCAAUGAAAAGGAUAAAAAAAAUGGUUUUUAUCUGCUAUAGGAUAGGAUCGUGUUCGAUUAUGGUUGUUGGUGAGAUAAUGGCUCACCAAGCCGAUAAUCGAUAGGGGCCGUGAGAGCGGGAGCCCCGAGAUGGGUACUGAGACAACGACCCAGGCCUUACGAGGCGCAGCAGGCGCGGAACCUCCGCAAUACACGAAAGUGUGACGGGGUUACCCAAAGUGUUCAAUAGAACUGUGGUAGGUGAGUAAUGUUCCCUACUAGAAAGGAGAGGGCAAGGCUGGUGCCAGCCGCCGCGGUAAAACCAGCUCUUCAAGUGGUCGGGAUAAUUAUUGGGCUUAAAGUGUCCGUAGCCGGUUUAGUAAGUUCCUGGUAAAAUCGGGUAGCUUAACUAUCUGCAUGCUAGGAAUACUGCUAUACUAGAGGGCGGGAGAGGUCUGAGGUACUACAGGGGUAGGGGUGAAAUCUUAUAAUCCUUGUAGGACCACCAGUGGCGAAAGCGUCAGACUGGAACGCGCCUGACGGUGAGGGACGAAAGCCAGGGGAGCGAACCGGAUUAGAUACCCGGGUAG